rnacentral:rRNA from 1 species
GACGAACGCUGGCGGCGUGCCUAAUACAUGCAAGUAGAACGCAGUUGCGAACGGGUGAGUAACGCGUAGGUAACUGCCUCAUAGCGGGGGAUAACUAUUGGAAACGAUAGCUAAUACCGCAUACUGUGAGAUGGACCUGCGUUGUAUUAGCUAGUUGGUGAGGUAAAGGCUCACCAAGGCGACGAUACAUAGCCUACCUGCGAGGGUGGUCGGCCCAACUGGGACUGGGACACGGCUCCGACUUCUACGGGAGGCAGCAGUAGGGAAUCUUUGGAAAUGGACGGAAGGCUUACCGAGGAACGCCGGGGGAGGGAAGAAGGGUUUCUGAUCGUAAAGCUCCGUUGUUAGAGAAGCGGGAACUAACCAGAAAGGGACGGCUAACUACGUGCCAGCAGCCGCGGUAAUUC